ensembl:piRNA 21ur-2341 ncRNA
UGGUUCGAUCGAUACGCUAGG